UACGUAGGAUCCGAGCGUUGUCCGGAAUUACUGGGUGUAAAGGGCGUGUAGGUGGAGCUUUAAGUCGGUGGUGAAAGCCUGCAGCUCAACUGCAGAAUUGCCCUCGAUACUGAGGCUCUUGAGUGCGGCAGAGGGAGAUGGAAUUCAUGGUGUAGCGGUGAAAUGUGUAGAUAUCAUGAAGAACACCGGUAGCGAAGGCGGUCUCCUGGUCCGUAACUGACACUGAGGCGCGAAAGCGUGGGGAGCAAACAGG
rnacentral:rRNA from 1 species